rnacentral:misc_RNA from 1 species
GAAAUGCGAUAAGUAAUGUGAAUUGCAGAAUUCCGUGAAUCAUCGAAUCUUUGAACGCACAUUGCGCCCUCUGGUAUUCCGGGGGGCAUGCCUGUCCGAGCGUCAUUGCGAACCCCUCAAGCACGGCUUGUGUGAUGGGCCCUCCCGCGUCUUGGUCGUCAAGACGGGCCCGAAAUGCAGUGGCGGCUUCGCGGUUAUCCGAUCAGCCAGAGCGUAUGGGGACUUUCUCUCUGUCACACACCCGCGGCGCGGACCGACGCCUGUCGACCUUCAUUCAUCGUUUUCUCGGUUGACCUCGGAUCAGGUAGGGAUACCCGCUGAACUUAAGC